AACGAACGCUGGCGGCAUGCCUAACACAUGCAAGUCGAACGAGACCUUCGGGUCUAGUGGCGCACGGGUGCGUAACGCGUGGGAACCUGCCCUUAGGUUCGGAAUAACUCCCCGAAGGGGGUGCUAAUACCGGAUAAUGUCUUCGGACCAAAGAUUUAUCGCCUUUGGAUGGGCCCGCGUUGGAUUAGCUAGUUGGUAGGGUAAAAGCCUACCAAGGCGACGAUCCAUAGCUGGUCUGAGAGGAUGAUCAGCCACACUGGGACUGAGACACGGCCCAGACUCCUACGGGAGGCAGCAGUGGGGAAUAUUGGACAAUGGGCGAAAGCCUGAUCCAGCAAUGCCGCGUGAGUGAUGAAGGCCUUAGGGUUGUAAGGCUCUUUUACCCGGGAUGAUAAUGACAGUACCGGGAGAAUAAGCUCCGGCUAACUCCGUG
rnacentral:rRNA from 1 species